rnacentral:rRNA from 1 species
ACGGCUUACCAAGGCAACGAUGCAUAGCCGACCUGAGAGGGUGAUCGGCCACACUGGAACUGAGACACGGUCCAGACUCCUACGGGAGGCAGCAGUAGGGAAUCUUCCGCAAUGGGCGAAAGCCUGACGGAGCAACGCCGCGUGAGUGAUGAAGGUCUUCGGAUCGUAAAACUCUGUUAUUAGGGAAGAACAUAUGUGUAAGUAACUGUGCACAUCUUGACGGUACCUAAUCAGAAAGCCACGGCUAACUACGUGCCAGCAGCCGCGGUAAUACGUAGGUGGCAAGCGUUAUCCGGAAUUAUUGGGCGUAAAGCGCGCGUAGGCGGUUUUUUAAGUCUGAUGUGAAAGCCCACGGCUCAACCGUGGAGGGUCAUUGGAAACUGGAAAACUUGAGUGCAGAAGAGGAAAGUGGAAUUCCAUGUGUAGCGGUGAAAUGCGCAGAGAUAUGGAGGAACACCAGUGGCGAAGGCGACUUUCUGGUCUGUAACUGACGCUGAUGUGCGAAAGCGUGGGGAUCAAACAGGAUUAGAUACCCUGGUAGUCCACGCCGUAAACGAUGAGU